rnacentral:rRNA from 2 species
UAGGCCCCGUCCCCUCCGGGGGGCGGGUCGCCGGGGUUCCGCCUCGGAUCGGAGUACAUGAUUGAUAGGGACGGUCGGGGUCGAUUGCACCGGGCGGCGAGGGGUGAAAUCCUAGGACCCGCCCGAGGCAAACGGGUGCGAAGGCGUUCGACAAGGACGUUUUCAUUAAUCAAGAACGAAAGUUGGGGGAUCGAAGAUGAUCAGAUACCGUCGUAGUCUCGACUAUAAACGAUGCCGACCGGGGGCCCGUAAACGUUACGCAGUACGACUCUACGGGCCCCCUCCUCCGAGAAAUCUCGAGUAUUCGGGUUCCGGGGGGAGUACGGUCGCAAGGCUGAAACUUAAAGGAAUUGACGGAAGGGCACCACCAGGAGUGGAACCUGCGGCUUAAUUUGACUCAACGCGGGAAAACUCACCGGGUCCGGACAUGGUUAGGAUUGACAGAUUGAGGGAUCUUUCUCGAUUCCAUGGAAAGUGGUGCAUGGCCGUUUCUAGUUGGUGGAUCGAUCCGUCUGGUUUAUUCCGUUAACGAACGAGACCUCGACCUGCCGAGUAGGCCGGCGAACCGGGGUCGGGUCCUCCGGGUCCCGUCCUUUGGGUUCGUUUACGGUCCCGACGACCGUCGGGCCGUCGGCGGCGCGAGCGUCCGGGGGAGACCCGUCGGGCAACCGUCGGGAGGAACCAGGUCGCGGACGUCGUCGGACCUUCUCGGAGGGACCACCCGCCUUACACAAGCGGGGGGAAGCUCGAGGCCAAAACAGGUCUGUGAUGCCCUUAGAUGUUCCGGGCUGCACGCGCGUUACAGUGACACGAACAACAAGCCUCGUCGUCCUUCCCCGAAGGGGGCGGGAAAUCUCCAGAUUGCGUCGCGGUGGGGACAGACCAUUGCAACUAUUGAUCUCGAACCAGGAAUUCCUAGUAGGCGCGGGUCAUCAGCCCGCGCCGAUUACGUCCCUGCCCUUUGUACACACCGCCCGUCGCUCCUACCGAUCGAACGAUCCGGCGAGGACUUGGGAGGGCAGGUCAGCCCCGCGGCCGAAAUGCUACGGGGCCCCGGUCCGAACUCGUUCGAACCUUAUCGUUUAGAGGAAGGAGAAGUCGUAACAAGGUUUCCCGUA